GACGAACGCUGGCGGCGUGCCUAAUACAUGCAAGUUGAGCGAUGAAGAUUGGUGCUUGCACCAAUUUGAAGAGCAGCGAACGGGUGAGUAACGCGUGGGGAAUCUGCCUUUGAGCGGGGGACAACAUUUGGAAACGAAUGCUAAUACCGCAUAACAACUUUAAACAUAAGUUUUAUGUUUGAAAGAUGCAAUUGCAUCACUCAAAGAUGAUCCCGUGUUGUAUUAGCUAGUUGGUGAGGUAAAGGCUCACCAAGGCGAUGAUACAUAGCCGACCUGAGAGGGUGGUCGGCCACAUUGAGACUGAGACACGGCCCAAACUGCUACGGGAAGCAGCAGUAGGGAAACGUCAGCAAUGGACGAGAGUCUGACCGAGCAACGCCGCGUGAGUGAAGAAGGUUUUCGGAUCGUAAAACUCUGUUGGUAGAGAAGAACGUUGGUGAGAGUGGAAAGCUCAUCAAGUGACGGUAACUACCCAGAAAGGGACGGCUAACUACGUG
rnacentral:rRNA from 1 species